GCCUCUGUGGCUCAGUGGUAGAGCGUGUCCUUGGUAAGGACAAGGUCGCGAGUUCGAUUCUCGCCAGAGGCU
rnacentral:tRNA from 1 species